GGGGUGACAAAUCCUGGAUACAGGAAUUACUACGCCACGUUCUCCGGCUUGUCGUACCAAGUGCCCCUGUUCCUGCUGAACGUGGUCAGUCUGGUGGCGCUGCGAAACAAAGGCGCGUGUCCCACCUGGACUGUCAUCAGUCUCAUGUCCCUGGUAGCUCUGCUUAUCGGCACUGUCGUCCUCGCCAUGUUUGACACGUCCACGUGGAUAGACGUCUUCUUCGGCGUUACCAUGGGUACUGUCUUACUACUCGGAAUCUUCACGGGCGUAUACAUGAGCAAUAUUUUUGGUUUGUCGGCAAUAUUUCCUAAGAAUUACACAAGCGUUUUAAUUAUGGG